rnacentral:rRNA from 1 species
AUACGGAGGAUCCGAGCGUUAUCCGGAUUUAUUGGGUUUAAAGGGUGCGCAGGCGGGAGAUUAAGUCGGCGGUGAAAUUUUGCAGCUCAACUGUAAAAGUGCCUUCGAAACUGGUUUCCUUGAGUGUGGAUGAAGUAGGCGGAAUUUGUGGUGUAGCGGUGAAAUGCAUAGAUAUCACGAGGAACUCCGAUUGCGCAGGCAGCUUACUAAGCCAUAACUGACGCUCAGUCACGAAGGCGUGGGGAUCAAACAGGAUUAGAUACCCUGGUAGUCCACGCAGUAAACGAUGAUUACUAGCUGUUUGCGAUACAAUGUAAGCGGCUGAGCGAAAGCGUUAAGUAUCCACCUGGGGAGUACGUUCGCAAGAAUGAAACUCAAAGGAAUUGACGGGG